rnacentral:rRNA from 1 species
UACGUAGGGGGCUAGCGUUGUCCGGAUUUAUUGGGCGUAAAGAGCGUGUAGGCGGCCAGGUAGGUCUGCUGUGAAAACUCGAGGCUUAACCUCGAGCUGUCGGCGGAAACCAUCUGGCUAGAGUCCGGAAGAGGAGAAUGGAAUUCCCGGUGUAGCGGUGAAAUGCGUAGAUAUCUGGAGGAACACCGGUGGCGAAGGCGGCAUCCUGGACCGGCAUUGACGCUGAGGCGCGAAAGCCAGGGGAGCAAACGGG